UAAAAGAUCCUAUCGUUUCAUCCGUUUUAUUUACUCGUAAGUAUAGUCUAACAAAUCAGAUAUUUCUGUUUAAACAUAGAAAAUCCAAUAUUUUAAUAAAUCAUUAGUGCGUUACUGUCGAUAAACUGCAAUUUAAUAGUAAUCCAGCAACGGAUCAUUUAAUUUUGAAAUAUUUUAUUAUCUUGUUUAGAGAUUCUAAUAAUAGCUUUUUUUUUAAUCUAAUCCAUGUUUUCGAAGAUUUUAGGAAAGUCUAGCUUAAUAUUUUUACUUUUUAUGAGAACGCAUUUGCCAUCGGAUCAUAUUGAUUGUGGUGAUGCCGAUGGGCAAACAAACGUUAAUUCGUUUUUAAAACAGUUUUUACAAGUUCAAUUAGAAAUAUAAAAAGUGAUAUGAAAUGAAUUCUGACAAAGUUCCAAAAUUCAUACAUUCAAUUUUUUGUAGUAUUACAUUUGUAACAUUAGUGAUUUCAUUGUUGGGAAAUAAAUGGGUAGUUAGUGAACUAAAUCCAACUUGGCAAGGCCUGUGGAGAUUUUGUGACAACUACGUUUGCAAAAGUCAAACAAACAUUCCUAUAUUUUUAUUAAGAGCUCGUAUUCUUGCAAUAACUUCUACCAUUUUAAUCGGAGUAGCAACUUUGGUUGCAUUUGCAGGAGUAUUUUUUAAAAAAAUUCCUGGAUAUUAUUCCUCCUUUAUAUUUCUUUUAGCAGUAAUUUUUUUGGCAUCUACGCAGCGCGUUUAUUGGUAUGGUAAUGAUUGGAAUGAGGAACAAAUGCAUUGUGGGAUACAUUACUUUUUAUGUUGGUUAUCAACUAUAUUAAGCUCGCUGUGCUUUUUUUAUGGUUUUUGUUUGUUCUAAUCAUAAAUAUUUUAGUUGUAACCUUUUUGAAAAACAAAAGCCUGACGAUGAUAUAUGAUAUUUGAUCAAGUGCUCAAAAGAUUGAUUUCAACAGCCGCCUACUUCUGUGCUUAAUUUUUCUUACAACCAAACUUUGUAUACCAAAAAAUAAAAUUGAAAA